CUAAGAAGAAUAAUGAUUAAGGAGUUUCUUGAGUUUUUUUGCUUUUGUUUUAUUUAUUUAUUUAUUUAUUUAUUUAUUUAUUUAUUUAUUUAUUUAUUUAUUUAUUUAUUUUGUAGUUGUAGAUGGACAGAAUGCCUUUAUUUUAUUUGUUUUUAUUUUUAUGUGGUGCUGAGGAUCAAAUGCAGUGCCUCACACAUGUUAGGCAAGCGCUCCACUGCUGAGCCCCAACCCCAGCCCAUGCUUUUGUUUUAUUUUUAAUCAUUCAAUGAAAUGUUCUUUUUUCCCUCAGUAUAUCCAUAAUGCCCAGCAAAAUUACUGAUAUAUAGUUAAUAAAUGUUUGUGGAAUUCAGCCCACCUACCUUAAAAAUUUAAGAAUAAGGAACAUUAGGUAUAACAAAAAAUGAACUUCAUUUUUCAUAUUAUAGCCAGUGCAGAGAAAGUGGAAAGGAGAAAGAAGGAUGGAGAGGAAAAAAGGAAACUGAGGACCUGAGAGAAUGAAACAAUCUGAGAGGAGAGUGAUGGCAAGAAUUUCCUACUGGUUUAGUCCUUGCUUCUGCUUCUACGUCUUGACAUGAAUUGUUUCCUUCUGCACUUGUUUAGGAGUCCCAGUCACUUUCUCUAAGAGCCAGCAUUAUAUGUAUAUCUUGGCAUAAUUAAGAUUUGGACUCUAGACCCAGACUGCUCAAGUUUAUUUAUUUUAUUUUUUGUGGUGCUGAAAAUUGAAUGCAGGGCCUUGCACUUGCUAGGUAAGCAAUGUAUUACUGAGCUACAUCCCAGCCCAGACUAUGCAAGUUUAAAUCUGGAUUCCGAUACUUUUUCCCCCCCUGUACUAGGGAUUGAACUCAUGGGGCACUCUGCCACUAAGCCACAUCCCCAGCCUCCCCUGCCCCUGCCUUUUUUUUUAAAACAUUUAUUCUUUAGUUUUAGGUGGACACAAUACCUUUAUUUAGUUUUUAUGUGGUGCUGAGGAUCGAACCCAGUGCCUCACGCAUGCUAGGCGAGCGCUUUUCGUCUGAGCCAACCCCAGCCCUCCCCAGCCCUUUUUGAGUUUUUAUUUUGAGAGAUGAUCUCACUAAGUUGCCCAGGCUGGCUUUGAAUUUGUGAUCCUCCUACCUCAGCCUCCUGAGUGACUGUGAUACAGGCAGGGGCCACUGUACCUCACUAGGUUCUGAUACUAAGUAGCUGACUUUGGAUAGAGUUCUGUGCUUUAGUAUUUUCAUCUAUAAGGAGAGAAUAAUAAAUAAAACCUUCUUUCAUGUAGUUGUAAAGAUUUAAAAAAUAAAUACAUAUCCAAAACUUACAAUACUGUAAAUUACCAGAAAAAUUAUAAUCAUUCAGUACAUUUUAGCUCUUACAUCUACUUAAUCCUUAUGCAGAACUUGCUAGUUCUGUCUUCCCUAAUAUCUCCUUUGUUAUCCUGACUUCUUUAACUACUGAGUCUCAUACUUUUGCUAUCACUAUCCUACCUCUUCUUUAUUACAAAAGUUCACCUUUGGGCACUCUGCCUAGAUCUGCUUACGCUUCCAUUUCUGAAUCUGAGUCAGUGGCAGAAGCAAAGAUAUCCUUGUGUAGGACAUAAAGUCCUCCAUCCCGCUUUUUUCUAGAUGAACAUGAAAUUGAGUUUAAACUUAAAUAACCAGAUACAGAGUACAGAUAAUUUAUAUAAUUGAUUUCUCCUUAAUCAAACUAAAAGGCUUGAGUCUAGACAGAUUUAAAAGACAUAUAUGGAAGACUUGGGGAUUUUUUUGGUUAGUUUAUCAAAAUGGAAUCACAUUAUGUAAUUACUCCAUAAUUUCUUUUUUUUACUUGAUAGUUUAUUAUGUUUCUUGUAAGUGUAUGUAUGUGUAAAUGUGUGUGUGUGUAUGUAUCUGAAUCUAUUUUUGAAUCUAAUGCACAUGCAAUUAAUACAAUAUACAAAGGACUUUUUUAAAAAAAUUUUUAAGUUCUGGUUGGACACAGUACUUUCAUUUUAUUUAUUUGUUUUUAUGUGGUGCUGAGGAUCGAACCCACGGCGCCUCACAUGUGCUAAGCGAACAUUCUGCAGCUGAGCCACAACUCCAGCCCAUAAAGGACAUUCUUUUAAGUACAGGUUUUUUUUUUUUUUUUUUUUUUGCUUGUUGCAUUCUUUACCCUUUAAGUUAUUGUAUUAACAUGUUCACAUUAGAAUAUAUACAUAUAUGCAGGGUAUAAUGGGCUACUUGCUUAACAAAAGUAGGAUCAAAUUUUAUACUAAUGUUCUGCAUUUUACUUUUCUCAUUAGAUACCUCAUGAAAAUUCCUCCAAGUCUUGGUAUAGCUCUAAUUUAUUCCUUUAAAAAAAUAAUUUUAUUGGGGCUGGGGGUGUGGCUCAAGUGGUAGCGCGCUCGUGUGGCAUGUGCAGGGCACUGGGUUUGAUCCUUAGCACCACAUAAAAAUAAAAAAUAAAAGAUGUUGUGUCCACCGAAAACUAAAAAAUAAAUAUUAAAAAAUUCUCUCUCUCUCUCUCUCUUAAAAAAAAAAUAGCUUUAUUGGGCUGAGAUUGUGGCUCAGUGGUAGGGCACUCGCCUAGCAUGUGUGGGGCCCUGGGUUCGAUCCUCAGCACCACAUAACAAUAAAUAAAUAAAAUAAAGAUAUUGUGUCCAACUACAACUAAAAGAUAUAAAAAAAAAGCUUUAUUGAGGUAUAAUUUACAUAGCAUAAAAUUUACCUAUUUUAAGUUUACAGUUAAAUGAGUUAUAAAUUUACAGUUUGGAAUCAUCAUCAUCAUAAUCCAGUUUAUAAUAUUCCAUCAUCUCCAAAAGUUAUUUUGUCUGUAGUUGGUCCCAUUCCCAUCUGCUGGCAACCAUUUCUAUUUUCCAGGUUUAUAGUUUUGCCUAUUCUAGGAAUUUGAUAUAAAUGAAAUUUUGCAGUAGUAUUAUUGUCUGACUUUUCUCAGUUAGCAUGUUUUUGAAGUUUAUUGAUGUUGUUGCAGAUAUCGGUAGUUCUUUUUAUUCCUGAGUAAUAUUCCAUUGUUUGGAUAUACCACUGUUGUUUAUCUAUUUGCCACUGAUAUAAGAUGAAUGGCUUUUAGGUUCUUAAAAUAAAAUCUUUCCCAGAAUACUAAAGUCUUUUGCUUGCUCUUUUUGGAACAAGUGAUUAGAACUGCCUUGAUUCUUGAGGAGGGAAAACUCUCUGAGCUCUAUUUUUUUUUAACCCUUAGGGAUACUUCCUUAUAAACUUAGGCUUGAAGGGAUAUAGUUUGAAAACCACCAAGCUAAAGUAUACUAUUGAAAUUUCAUAUACUAUAUUAAGAAAAUGAGUAUAUAAAUGCUAUUUCCAGAUGAGAUUAAUGAAGAAAAACUUAAACAGUGUUUGGGAACAAUUUUAUUUUUUAUACUACAGGGGAUUCAGCCUAGUGGUGCUCUACCUAUGAGUUAUAUCUUCAGCCCUUUAAUUUUUAUUUUGAGACAGGGUCUUGUUAAAUUGCCUAGGCUGGGCUUGAACUUGAGAUCCUCCUGUCUUACCUUUCUGAGGUGUUGGGAUUAUAGGUGCAUGCCAUCACACUCUGCUGGGAACACAUUUGUUUGUGUGUGUGUGUGUGUGUGUGUGUGUGUGUGUGAACCAGAAUUUGUGAUAGAUUAACUAUAUUUGCUAAGGGAAUGAUAAUAUUCCCCUUGUUUAAAAUUUGGCUUUUCUGCAAAGUUUCAUGCUUACCUGGUAGAAUGUUAUUUCAGAAGACUUAUUUUUACCCUUCUACCUUUAUAUAUAUAUAAUAUUUUUUAUUUUUUUAAAUCAGGCAAUUAUUAUAGUUUACGUUCUCAGCAUGAGAAAGCGGCCUUAUAUUUCCAGAGAGCCCUAAAGUUGAAUCCUCGGUAUCUUGGGGCCUGGACACUGAUGGGGCAUGAGUACAUGGAAAUGAAAAAUACAUCUGCUGCUAUCCAGGCUUAUCGGUGAGCAUCUAGUUGGGGGUUGAGGAUUGCUGUGUUAGGAGCCUCAGUUGAGCCUGCAAGUUUCAAGCCUUGAUUAUGCUUUCUUAACAUUCUUUCAUUUUCAUUUCUUAGACAUGCCAUUGAGGUCAAUAAGCGGGACUACAGAGCUUGGUAUGGCCUUGGGCAGACCUAUGAAAUCCUUAAGAUGCCAUUUUACUGCCUAUAUUACUACAGACGGGCCCACCAGCUUCGGUAAGUCUGGUCACUUUACAAUGUA
rnacentral:lncRNA from 1 species